rnacentral:rRNA from 1 species
AACGAACGCUGGCGGCAUGCCUAACACAUGCAAGUCGAACGAGACCUUCGGGUCUAGUGGCGCACGGGUGCGUAACGCGUGGGAACCUGCCCUUAGGUCCGGAAUAACUCCCCGAAAGGGGUGCUAAUACCGGAUAAUGUCUUCGGACCAAAGAUUUAUCGCCUUUGGAUGGGCCCGCGUUGGAUUAGCUAGUUGGUAGGGUAAAAGCCUACCAAGGCGACGAUCCAUAGCUGGUCUGAGAGGAUGAUCAGCCACACUGGGACUGAGACACGGCCCAGACUCCUACGGGAGGCAGCAGUGGGGAAUAUUGGACAAUGGGCGAAAGCCUGAUCCAGCAAUGCCGCGUGAGUGAUGAAGGCCUUAGGGUUGUAAAGCUCUUUUACCCGGGAUGAUAAUGACAGUACCGGGAGAAUAAGCUCCGGCUAACUCCGU